rnacentral:rRNA from 13 species
GUCGAACGAUGAUGCCCAGCUUGCUGGGUUGAUUAGUGGCGAACGGGUGAGUAACACGUGAGUAACCUGCCCCUGACUCUGGGAUAAGCGUUGGAAACGACGUCUAAUACUGGAUAUGAUCGCCGGCCGCAUGGUCUGGUGGUGGAAAGAUUUUUUGGUUGGGGAUGGACUCGCGGCCUAUCAGCUUGUUGGUGAGGUAAUGGCUCACCAAGGCGACGACGGGUAGCCGGCCUGAGAGGGUGACCGGCCACACUGGGACUGAGACACGGCCCAGACUCCUACGGGAGGCAGCAGUGGGGAAUAUUGCACAAUGGGCGAAAGCCUGAUGCAGCAACGCCGCGUGAGGGAUGACGGCCUUCGGGUUGUAAACCUCUUUUAGUAGGGAAGAAGCGAAAGUGACGGUACCUGCAGAAAAAGCACCGGCUAACUACGUGCCAGCAGCCGCGGUAAUACGUAGGGUGCAAGCGUUGUCCGGAAUUAUUGGGCGUAAAGAGCUCGUAGGCGGUUUGUCGCGUCUGCUGUGAAAUCCCGAGGCUCAACCUCGGGCUUGCAGUGGGUACGGGCAGACUAGAGUGCGGUAGGGGAGAUUGGAAUUCCUGGUGUAGCGGUGGAAUGCGCAGAUAUCAGGAGGAACACCGAUGGCGAAGGCAGAUCUCUGGGCCGUAACUGACGCUGAGGAGCGAAAGCAUGGGGAGCGAACAGGAUUAGAUACC